UGGUCGGUUCCAUUUUCUUCUCAGUCUCCAUGUGAGCACGAAAGGAGGAUUCAGUCUCCUCUCAACAACAUCAGCAUUUUAAUAUGUUUUGCUCUUCAUCAUUUCCAACAUUUUUCAGAUGGAUUUUGCCUAAGAGGUCUCUUGCGCCCUUGGUCUCAACCCUAUAUUGCGCCUCAGCUGUAGUUGCAUGUAAAAAGGAUCCCAACUUCAGAGGAUGAUCUACAACAGAGAGCACUCCAUGUCUCACCAGAUGACGGCAAACUGCAGGAGGAGAUGCAGAUCACAGCCUGUUUGGCAGUUCUGACACUUCUAAGGAAGUGUACACCCUUGAGGCUACUGCAGUUCAAACAAUAACUAUAUUAAUGAGACUAGCAUUCAACAAUGAAGUAUCUUCCGGAGUUCUUCUGUUUUUUGGUGGCAGGUGCAGCGCUUCGAUGACAUCAAUCAUGAUCUCUGCAGGCCAGUGAGUGUAUUCAGCACAGGAUACACAGAGGUGUGGGUACAAAUACAUAUAUAACCAUGUUAUAAAUGUUUAUAUAUUGUAGCUGUUCAGCAUGUGGGCUUUAAAUGAACUAUUUUUUUAUUUAAGAUAUAGCACUGAGCAUACUGUAUUGUUGUAUUUGAUACCAAACAAGCCUCAUAUUGUCUGGUUUCCUUAAAUGUGUGAAUAUUUUAAAAUAAGAAUACAUUAUAAUCUUGUUUGUCUUUUCUAGCAGAAUUUCCAGAACAAACUACAGAUAAAGUUUCAUUUACUCAGGGGUCAUUUUGUUUGAUGUUUAAUCUUAAGAAGCCAUGUUGCCAGAAGCUGUUGCAUUAUUAUUGCAACGAUUGUGGAAAAUAAGUAAUGGUAUAAUAUGUAAAAAAUAAAUGUUUUAAAAUAAUACAGUAUAGUAUUUUUGUACAUACUGUAUAUAUUGUUCAAUUAUUUUUGACAUGCUAUACUAUUAAUUUUUCAAUAAACUAGACCUUCGAAAAACUAUUGAGACUAUUUUUCUUCAUAUAGUUGACAAAUAUGUUCAAUGAAAUGUUGUGACAUACUAUACUUUGUGCUUUUCAUGAUGUUUUUGACAAACUAAUAUACUAAUUCAACAUGCUAUUUUAUCACUGUUCAACUAUUUCAAUUGUUUUGAGAUACUUUCCCUUAAUUAUUUUUUAAAAUUUGACCCACUAUACUAUGACAUUUUAAGCAAUACUGUAAAGUGAUUUUCCCCCCCCACCUCUUUCGACACUAUACUUUGUGUUGUUUUCUGAUAUUUCUCUGAUUAUUCAUUAAGAAAUCCUAAAAAAGCCAGUGAAGUAUGCCAUAAUUAGAGAUAAAGUAAUUGAAAUGUCUUUUCGAAGUACUUUACAGCCUGUUAUUAAAAGACUAUACAACAA